rnacentral:rRNA from 1 species
GACCGGGAUGGACGCACCGCUGGUGCACCAGUUGUCAUGCCAAUGGCACGGCUGGGCAGCUAAGUGCGGACGGGAUAAACGCUGAAAGCAUCUAAGCGUGAAGCCCCCUCCAAGAUAAGAUAUCCCAUAGCAUAAGCUAGUAAGACCCCUCAAGGACUAUGAGGUUGAUAGGCUGCAGGUGUAAGAGUAGUGAUACUUUCAGCUGGGCAGUACUAAUAGGUCGAGGGCUUGACCAU